rnacentral:rRNA from 1 species
UGAAUACGAGAUGCUACGGCGUCGAAGCAGUCUAUGUCAUACUUCCAAGAAAAGCUCGCACUGUCAUAAACAAAUAAUGCCUGUACCAUAACCGACACAGGUGGGUAGGUAGAGUAUACUAAGGGGCGCGAGAUAACUCUCUCUAAGGAACUCGGCAAAAUGACUCCGUAACUUCGGGAGAAGGAGUGCCUUAUUUAUAAGGUUGCAAUAACAAGAUCCAAGCAACUGUUUAUCAAAAACACAGGUCUCCGCUAAGUCGUAAGACGAUGUAUGGGGGCUGACGCCUGCCCAGUGCCAGAAGGUUAAAGAAGUUGGUUAGCAUUCGCGAAGCUGAUAACUGAAGCCCUGGUGAACGGCGGCCGUAACAAUAACGGUCCUAAGGUAGCGAAAUUCCUUGUCGGGUAAGUUCCGACCCGCACGAAAGGCGUAAUGAUUUGGAUACUGUCUCGGAGAGGGGCUCGGUGAAAUAGACUUGUCUGUGAAGAUGCGGACUACCUGCACCAGGACAGAAAGACCCUAUGAAGCUUUACUGUAACUUGAGAUUGAAAUUGGACUUUACUUGCGCAGUAUAGGUGGGAGGCGUUGAUAAUAUUCUUGCGGGAUUAUUUGAGCCAUCAGUGAGAUACCACUCUUGUAAUGUUAGAUUUCUAACUUUGUAUCAUUAUCUGGUCAAAGGACAGUUUCAGGCGGGCAGUUUGACUGGGGCGGUCGCCUCCUAAACGGUAACGGAGGCGCACAAAGGUUUCCUCUGAACGGGUAGAAAUCGUAUCUAGAGUGUAAAGGCAUAAGGAAGCUUGACUGUGAGACCUACAAGUCGAGCAGGGACGAAAGUCGGUCUUAGUGAUCUGACGGUGCUGAGUGGAAAGGCCGUCACUCAACGGAUAAAAGUUACUCUAGGAUAACAGGCUGAUCUCCCCCAAGAGUUCACAUCGACGGGGAGGUUUGGCACCUCGAUGUCGGCUCAUCGCAUCCUGGGGCGGUAGUACGUCCCAAGGGUUGGGCUGUUCGCCCAUGAAAGCGGUACGCGAGCUGGGUUCAGAACGUCGUGAGGCAGUUCGGUCCAUAUCCGGUGUAGGCGUUAGAAUAUUGAGAGGAGCCUUCUUUAGUACGAGAGGACCGAGAAGGACAUACCUCUGGUGUACCAGUUAUCGUGCCAACGGUAAACGCUGGGUAGCUAUGUAUGGAGUGGAUAACCGCUGAAAGCAUCUAAGUGGGAAGCCCACCUCAAGAUAAG